UGUGGGAGCGAGACGGGGACUCACUGUGCUUAUUAAAUAGUCAGUCUUUUUCUCUCUCCUAUA
ensembl:ncRNA mir-14 mir-14 stem loop